CCUAAGGUAGCGAAAUUCCUUGUCGGGUAAGUUCCGACCUGCACGAAUGGCGUAAUGAUGGCCACGCUGUCUCCACCCGAGACUCAGUGAAAUUGAAAUCGCUGUGAAGAUGCAGUGUACCCGCGGCUAGACGGAAAGACCCCGUGAACCUUUACUACAGCUUGGCACUGAACAUUGACCCUACAUGUGUAGGAUAGGUGGGAGGCUUUGAAGCACGUACGCCAGUAUGUGUGGAGCCGUCCUUGAAAUACCACCCUUGUAGUGUUGAUGUUCUAACGUCGACCCCUAAUCGGGGUUGCGGACAGUGCCUGGUGGGUAGUUUGACUGGGGCGGUCUCCUCCCAAAGAGUAACGGAGGAGCACGAAGGUGGGCUAAUCACGGUUGGACAUCGUGAGGUUAGUGCAAUGGCAUAAGCCCGCUUGACUGCGAGAAUGACAAUUCGAGCAGGUGCGAAAGCAGGUCAUAGUGAUCCGGUGGUUCUGAAUGGAAGGGCCAUCGCUCAACGGAUAAAAGGUACUCCGGGGAUAACAGGCUGAUACCGCCCAAGAGUUCAUAUCGACGGCGGUGUUUGGCACCUCGAUGUCGGCUCAUCACA
rnacentral:rRNA from 1 species